AGUGAACGCUGGCGGCGUGCUUAACACAUGCAAGUCGAACGAGAACGGAAUAUAGCUUGCUAUAUUUGUCAGCUAAGUGGCGCACGGGUGAGUAAUGUAUAGAUAACCUGCCCUUAAGAAAGGAAUAACAGUUGGAAACGACUGCUAAUGCCCUAUAUGCCUUUAAUACAUAAGUAUGCAAGGGAAACGCUUUAGUGCUUAAGGAUGGGUCUGUAUGGUAUCAGCUUGUUGGUGAGGUAAUGGCUGACCAAGGCUAUGACGCCUAACUGGUUUGAGAGGAUGAUCAGUCCCACUGGAACGGAGACACGGUCCAGGCUCCUACGGGAGGCAGCAGUGGGGAAUAUUGCACAAUGGACGAAAGUCUGAUGCAGCAACGCCGCGUGGAGGAUAACACAUUUCGGUGCGUAAACUCCUUUUAUAUAGGAAGAUAAUGACGGUACUAUAUGAAUAAGCACCGGCUAACUCCGUGCCAGCCGCCGCCGUAAUAC
rnacentral:rRNA from 1 species